UACGUAGGGUGCGAGCGUUGUCCGGAAUUAUUGGGCGUCAAGAGCUCGUAGGCGGUGUGUCGCGUCGGUCGUGAAAACUUGGGGCUUAACUCUGAGCUUGCGGUCGAUACGUGCAUCACUUGAGUUCGGCAGGGGAGACUGGAAUUCCUGGUGUAGCGGUGAAAUGCGCAGAUAUCGGGAGGAACACCGGUGGCGAAGGCGGGUCUCUGGGCCGAUACUGACGCUGAGGAGCGAAAGCGUGGGGAGCAAACAGG
rnacentral:rRNA from 1 species